UACGUAGGUGGCAAGCGUUGUCCGGAAUUACUGGGCGUAAAGCGCACGUAGGCGGGUCUUUAAGUCAGGGGUGAAAUCCUGGAGCUCAACUCCAGAACUGCCUUUGAUACUGAAGAUCUUGAGUCCGGGAGAGGUGAGUGGAACUGCGAGUGUAGAGGUGAAAUUCGUAGAUAUUCGCAAGAACACCAGUGGCGAAGGCGGCUCACUGGCCCGGUACUGACGCUGAGGCACGAAAGCGUGGGGAGCAAACAGG
rnacentral:rRNA from 1 species